rnacentral:rRNA from 1 species
UACGGAGGGUGCGAGCGUUAUCCGGAAUUACUGGGUUUAAAGGGUGCGUAGGCGGCUAUGUAAGUCAGGAGUGAAAGUUUGCGGCUCAACCGUAAAAUUGCUUUUGAUACUGCAUGGCUGGAAUUAGGAUGAGGUCAGCGGAAUGUGGCAUGUAGCGGUGAAAUGCAUAGAUAUGCCAUAGAACACCAAGUGCGAAGGCAGCUGGCUAGACCUGGAUUGACGCUGAGGCACGAAAGCGUGGGGAGCGAACAGG